rnacentral:rRNA from 1 species
CCUACGGGAGGCAGCAGUGAGGAAUAUUGGUCAAUGGGCGCGAGCCUGAACCAGCCAAGUAGCGUGAAGGAUGAAUGCCCUACGGGUUGUAAAUAUCUUUUAUAAAGGAAUAAGGUGAGGCACGUGUGCCUUUUUGUAUGUACUUUCUGAGUAAGGAUCGGCUAACCCCGUGCCAGCCGCCGCGGUAAUACGGAGGAUCGGAGCGUUAUCCGGAUUUAUUGGGUUUAAAGGGAGCGUAGAUGGGUUGUUAAGUCAGUUGUGAAAGUUUGCGGCUCAACCGUAAAAUUGCAAUUGAUACUGGCAGUCUUGAGUACAGUUGAGGGAGGCAGAAUUCGUGGUGUAGCGGUGAAAUGCGUAGAGAUCACGAAGAACUCCGAUUGCGAAGGCAGCUUACUAAACUGCCACUGACAUUGAUGCUCGAAAGUGUGGGGAUCAAACAGGAUUAGAUACCCUAGUAGUC